AUUGAACGCUGGCGGCAGGCCUAACACAUGCAAGUCGAACGAGAGGCGGACGGGUGAGUAAUGUCUGAGAAACUGCCUGAUGGAGGGGGAUAACUACUGGAACCGGUAGCUAAUACCGCAUACCAUCAGAUGUGCCCAGAUGGGAUUAGCUAGUUGGUGGGGUAACGGAUCACCAAGGCGACGAUCCCUAGCUGGUCUGAGAGGAUGACCAGCCACACUGGAACUGAGACACGGUCCAGACUCCUACGGGAGGCAGCAGUGGGGAAUAUUGCGCAAUGGGCGCAAGCCUGAUGGAGCAAUGCCGCGUGUAUGAAGAAGGCCUUCGGGUUGUAAAGUACUUUCAGCGGAGAAGCGUUACCCGCAGAGGAAGCACCGGCUAACUCCGUGCCAGCAGUCGCGGUAAUUC
rnacentral:rRNA from 1 species